UUUUUUGUUUCAGUUUUACGCCGAGUCGGACUGCUGCUAGGGUUGUUAACUAUAUAAUUCAGCAGAUGUAUAAAUCAGCUUUUAAGAGCUAUGGGGACGUCAAAAAUAAAGAUGAAUGGUUUAGAAUGUUUAAGGAGAAAUGUGUGUGGGAUCCUUUGAGUGAAAAAAGUGUUCAGAAAGUUUUCAAUACCAGAUGCUCUAAAAGAAUGUCUGAUAUGCUGCGGCGAGUAAGGGAGAAUUAUGAGCUUCAUGGCAUCCGUCCUAACUAGAUAGGCGAGGAGGUUUUUCAUGAGCUUGUUACAUAUUGGAGGAGUCCAGAAUUCCGGGCUAAAUCAGAAACUUUUAAGAAGAUGAGGGCAUCUGAAAAGGGCGGUUGUGUCAACACAGUUGGAAGUAUUAGCACCGCCGAGCAUGCCCGACGAUUGGCUAAGGAGUUGGGGAGAAAACCAUUGAUGCCUGAGCUGAUUUCGAGGACCCGGACAAGGAGAUCGGGAGGUUUUGUCGACGAGCGCACGAAGUUGUA